rnacentral:rRNA from 1 species
AUUGAACGCUGGCGGCAUGCCUUACACAUGCAAGUCGAACGGCAGCACGGGUGCUUGCACCUGGUGGCGAGUGGCGAACGGGUGAGUAAUGCAUCGGAACGUACCCGGAAGUGGGGGAUAACGUAGCGAAAGUUACGCUAAUACCGCAUAUUCUGUGAGCAGGAAAGAGGGGGAUCGCAAGACCUCUCGCUUUCGGAGCGGCCGAUGUCGGAUUAGCUAGUUGGCGGGGUAAAGGCCCACCAAGGCGACGAUCCGUAGCGGGUCUGAGAGGAUGAUCCGCCACACUGGGACUGAGACACGGCCCAGACUCCUACGGGAGGCAGCAGUGGGGAAUUUUGGACAAUGGGCGCAAGCCUGAUCCAGCCAUGCCGCGUGAGUGAAGAAGGCCUUCGGGUUGUAAAGCUCUUUUGUCUAGGGAAGAAAUAGCUCUGGGCUAAGUACCCUGGGUGAUGACGGUACCUGAAGAAUAAGACACCGGCUAACUACGUGCCAGCACG